AGGAGUCAGGAUGGUGAGUCAGGCAGAGGCGUGGCCAUCAGAUCAAGCCUCUCCCUACAAUUAGCGUGAACCAUUUCUUGAAAGAAAUGGAGACUGAGUUCUACAAAGCAGGAGACUUUAAAACGUUUGGACCAAAGUGGGAUCUUAGUUCUCCAACCAGGGAUUGAACCCGUGCCCCCUGCAGUGGAAGUGUGGAGUCUUGACCACUGGACCGCCAGGGAAGCCCCUAAAAGGCCCAGCUUGGAGGCCUCUCCAGACUGGAAGCAUUAGACCACUGGCUGUAAUAGUUUCAUCCAUGACAAAGUCCUCCGGCAACAUUCCUGGUCGUUUACUUCCCAUUGUAGGUGUCAGUAAAGGUGGUGCCUCGUUCUGGAAAAUGUGGGCCAUAGUCGAUCAUGGAGGACUUACAAUGAAAUGGAUGAAGAUGAUCUAGGUUCUGGGUGAAGUUCCCAAAGAUUCUGUGAAUCAGCACCUUCCCUCACUGGACGAUACUCUCUUGUAACCCUGAUUCUUUGACAUGCGUCAGCUGGCCAAUACCGGUAAAACUGAUUUAUGUGUAAUUUUCCUCACCUGGGAAAACUAGAUGAGGUAACUCUCGGUCUCCUGUUUCAUUCUUGGCUAUAUUCGAUUUUCUAAAUUUCUACAACCUCUUGGAAAAGACAAGCCCAAAUAAAAUUAUAGGAGACGAGUAAAUCAAUCUUA